rnacentral:rRNA from 1 species
UACGAGGGGGGCUAGCGUUGUUCGGAAUCACUGGGCGUAAAGGGCGCGUAGGCGGCCGAUCAAGUCGGGGGUGAAAGCCCGGGGCUUAACCCCGGAAUUGCACCUCAAACUACAUGGCUAGAGCAUUGGAGAGGGUAGCAGAAUUCAUGGUGUAGCAGUGAAAUGCGUAGAUAUCAUGAGGAAUACCAGAGGCGAAGGCGGCUACCUGGACAAUUGCUGACGCUCAGGCACGAAAGCGUGGGGAGCAAAAGGG